rnacentral:snRNA from 1 species
GUGCUUGCUUAGGCAGCACAUAUACUAAAAUUGGAACAAUACAAAGAAGAUUAGCAUGGCCCAUGCUCAAGGAUGACACAGAAAUUCACGAAGCAUACCAUAUUUUU